rnacentral:rRNA from 1 species
UACGGAGGAUGCAAGCGUUAUCCGGAAUGAUUGGGCGUAAAGCGUCCGUAGGUGGCGAUUCAAGUCAGGGGUGAAAUCCGGCAGCUCAACUGUCGAAGUGCCCUUGAUACUGAUGAGCUCGAGGGAGGUAGGGGUAUGUGGAACUUCCGGUGGAGCGGUGAAAUGCGUUGAUAUCGGAAGGAACGCCGGUGGCGAAAGCGACGUACUGGACCUCUUCUGACGCUGAGGCGCGAAAGCUAGGGGAGCAAACGGG